UACGUAGGGGGCAAGCGUUGUCCGGAAUCAUUGGGCGUAAAGCGCGUGUAGGCGGCUUCGUCAGUCCGUUGUGAAAGUCCAGGGCUCAACCCUGGAAUGCCGAUGGAUACUGCGGAGCUAGAGUCCGGAAGAGGCGAGUGGAAUUCCUGGUGUAGCGGUGAAAUGCGCAGAUAUCAGGAGGAACGCCAAUGGCGAAGGCAGCUCGCUGGGACGGUACUGACGCUGAGACGCGAAAGCGUGGGGAGCAAACAGG
rnacentral:rRNA from 1 species